GUGAGCCGUGUAAUAGGCGACCAUUUCGCGCGGUUCGGGGGGCACUUGAGUUGAGUCAGCCGCCGGCGCCCGACUGCGUCUUGACCCCUAU
rnacentral:ncRNA from 1 species